rnacentral:rRNA from 1 species
UGGGCGAAAGCCUGAUCCAGCAAUGCCGCGUGAGUGAUGAAGGCCUUAGGGUUGUAAAGCUCUUUUACCAGGGAUGAUAAUGACAGUACCUGGAGAAUAAGCUCCGGCUAACUCCGUGCCAGCAGCCGCGGUAAUACGGAGGGAGCUAGCGUUGUUCGGAAUUACUGGGCGUAAAGCGCACGUAGGCGGCUUUUCAAGUCAGGGGUGAAAUCCCGGGGCUCAACCCCGGAACUGCCCUUGAAACUGGAUGGCUAGAAUUCUGGAGAGGUUAGUGGAAUUCCGAGUGUAGAGGUGAAAUUCGUAGAUAUUCGGAAGAACACCAGUGGCGAAGGCGACUCACUGGACAGUUAUUGACGCUGAGGUUCGAAAGCGUGGGGAGCAAACAGGAUUAGAUACCCUGGUAGUCCACGCCGUAAACGAUGAUAACUAGUUGUCCGGGCUCAUGGAGCUUGAGUGUCGCAGCUAACGCAU